GAUAACCUGGAUGUGGUGUUGAACACCGUUGAGUCGCCGAUUCCUUCUCCUGACAGAGAGGUUGAGUCGGCGACUCCGGUCGUUCCACCUCAUAGUCUGGAGUUGAGUGCCACCGUGCACGAGCUACUUGGCGCUGGGCCAGUGUCGGCGACUCCCCUUGUGGAGUCGGCGACACAGAGCCUGGCUAUUGUAGUCGCACGGCCGCCUCUUGAGCCUGGGGAGAUCUCCGUGGCCUCUGCGUCGGCGACUCCCAAUGUGGAGUCGGCAACUCAUGAAGGCCCUGUCAAAGGGAGAUGCUUCAGGCGCAAGACGCUGGCCUUAACUGCCACAGGGUCAGCGACCUCCAGCCGAGCUUCGCCGAUUCCCCUUACGGGAUCGGCGACUCGUAUGCUGGAAUCGCCGACUCUGAUGAAUGUUGAUGAUUCCUCUGCGCACCGCCCUGCACCAUUGGUCGUGGGCGCAGGAGGACGAAUCGUAUCGGGACUGAGCCCGAACCAGGGUCCUUCUCACAAAAGAAAGAGAAGGCGCACCACUGGUAAGGGCAAAGUGCAUGUGCCCG
rnacentral:lncRNA from 1 species